rnacentral:rRNA from 1 species
GACGAACGCUGGCGGCGUGCUUAACACAUGCAAGUCGAACGGAAAGGCCCUGCUUUUGUGGGGUGCUCGAGUGGCGAACGGGUGAGUAACACGUGAGUAACCUGCCCUUGACUUUGGGAUAACUUCAGGAAACUGGGGCUAAUACCGGAUAGGAGCUCCUGCUGCAUGGUGGGGGUUGGAAAGUUUCGGCGGUUGGGGAUGGACUCGCGGCUUAUCAGCUUGUUGGUGGGGUAGUGGCUUACCAAGGCUUUGACGGGUAGCCGGCCUGAGAGGGUGACCGGCCACAUUGGGACUGAGAUACGGACCAGACUCCGACGGGAGGCAGCAGUGGGGAAUAUUGCACAAUGGGCGGAAGCCUGAUGCAGCAACGCCGCGUGCGGGAUGACGGCCUUCGGGUUGUAAACCGCUUUCGCCUGUGACGAAGCGUGAGUGACGGUAAUGGGUAAAGAAGCACCGGCUAACUACGUG